UUUUCCUACGGGAGGCAGCAGUCGAGAAUCAUUCACAAUGGGGGAAACCCUGAUGGUGCGACGCCGCGUGGGGGAAUGAAGGUCUUCGGAUUGUAAACCCCUGUCAUGUGGGAGCAAAUUAAAAAGAUAGUACCACAAGAGGAAGAGACGGCGAACUCUGUGCCAGCAGCCGCGGUAAUACAGAGGUCUCAAGCGUUGUUCGGAAUCACUGGGCGUAAAGCGUGCGUAGGCUGUUUCGUAAGUCGUGUGUGAAAGUCGCGGGCUCAAUCCGCGGACGGAACAUGAUACUGAGAGA
rnacentral:rRNA from 1 species